UACAGAGGUCUCAAGCGUUGUUCGGAUUCAUUGGGCGUAAAGGGUGCGUAGGCGGCGCGGUAAGUCGGGUGUGAAAUCUCGGAGCUUAACUCCGAAACUGCAUUCGAUACUGCCGUGCUUGAGGACUGGAGAGGAGACUGGAAUUUACGGUGUAGCGGUGAAAUGCGUAGAUAUCGUAAGGAAGACCAGUGGCGAAGGCAGGUCUCUGGACAGUUCCUGACGCUGAGGCACGAAGGCCAGGGGGAGCAAAACGGGG
rnacentral:rRNA from 1 species